rnacentral:rRNA from 1 species
CAAUAGCGUAUAUUAAAGUUGUUGCAGUUAAAACGCUCGUAGUCGGAUUUCGGGGCCUGCCUGCCGGUCUGCCGAUGGGUAUGCACUGGCAGGCGCGUCCUUCCUUCCGGAGACUGUCCCUACUCUUAACUGAGCGGGGUCGGGAGACGGAUCGUUUACUUUGAAAAAAUCAGAGUGUUUCAAGCAGGCAGCUCGCUCUUGCAUGGAUUAGCAUGGGAUAAUGAAAUAGGACUUUGGUGCUAUUUUGUUGGUUUCGAACACCGAAGUAAUGAUUAACAGGGACAGUCAGGGGCACUCGUAUUCCGCCGAGAGAGGUGAAAUUCUCAGACCAGCGGAAGACGAACCACUGCGAAAGCAUUUGCCAGGGAUGUUUUCACUG